rnacentral:rRNA from 1 species
GGGUUGUGAGGUUAAGCGACUAAGCGUACACGGUGGAUGCCCUGGCAGUCAGAGGCGAUGAAGGACGUGCUAAUCUGCGAUAAGCGUCGGUAAGGUGAUAUGAACCGUUAUAACCGGCGAUUUCCGAAUGGGGAAACCCAGUGUGUUUCGACACACUAUCAUUAACUGAAUCCAUAGGUUAAUGAGGCGAACCGGGGGAACUGAAACAUCUAAGUACCCCGAGGAAAAGAAAUCAACCGAGAUUCCCCCAGUAGCGGCGAGCGAACGGGGAGCAGCCCAGAGCCUGAAUCAGUGUGUGUGUUAGUGGAAGCGUCUGGAAAGGCGCGCGAUACAGGGUGACAGCCCCGUACACAAAAAUGCACAUACUGUGAGCUCGAUGAGUAGGGCGGGACACGUGGUAUCCUGUCUGAAUAUGGGGGGACCAUCCUCCAAGGCUAAAUACUCCUGACUGACCGAUAGUGAACCAGUACCGUGAGGGAAAGGCGAAAAGAACCCCGGCGAGGGGAGUGAAAAAGAACCUGAAACCGUGUACGUACAAGCAGUGGGAGCACGCUUAGGCGUGUGACUGCGUACCUUUUGUAUAAUGGGUCAGCGACUUAUAUUCUGUAGCAAGGUUAACCGAAUAGGGGAGCCGAAGGGAAACCGAGUCUUAACUGGGCGUUAAGUUGCAGGGUAUAGACCCGAAACCCGGUGAUCUAGCCAUGGGCAGGUUGAAGGUUGGGUAACACUAACUGGAGGACCGAACCGACUAAUGUUGAAAAAUUAGCGGAUGACUUGUGGCUGGGGGUGAAAGGCCAAUCAAACCGGGAGAUAGCUGGUUCUCCCCGAAAGCUAUUUAGGUAGCGCCUCGUGAAUUCAUCUCCGGGGGUAGAGCACUGUUUCGGCAAGGGGGUCAUCCCGACUUACCAACCCGAUGCAAACUGCGAAUACCGGAGAAUGUUAUCACGGGAGACACACGGCGGGUGCUAACGUCCGUCGUGAAGAGGGAAACAACCCAGACCGCCAGCUAAGGUCCCAAAGUCAUGGUUAAGUGGGAAACGAUGUGGGAAGGCCCAGACAGCCAGGAUGUUGGCUUAGAAGCAGCCAUCAUUUAAAGAAAGCGUAAUAGCUCACUGGUCGAGUCGGCCUGCGCGGAAGAUGUAACGGGGCUAAACCAUGCACCGAAGCUGCGGCAGCGACGCUUAUGCGUUGUUGGGUAGGGGAGCGUUCUGUAAGCCUGCGAAGGUGUGCUGUGAGGCAUGCUGGAGGUAUCAGAAGUGCGAAUGCUGACAUAAGUAACGAUAAAGCGGGUGAAAAGCCCGCUCGCCGGAAGACCAAGGGUUCCUGUCCAACGUUAAUCGGGGCAGGGUGAGUCGACCCCUAAGGCGAGGCCGAAAGGCGUAGUCGAUGGGAAACAGGUUAAUAUUCCUGUACUUGGUGUUACUGCGAAGGGGGGACGGAGAAGGCUAUGUUGGCCGGGCGACGGUUGUCCCGGUUUAAGCGUGUAGGCUGGUUUUCCAGGCAAAUCCGGAAAAUCAAGGCUGAGGCGUGAUGACGAGGCACUACGGUGCUGAAGCAACAAAUGCCCUGCUUCCAGGAAAAGCCUCUAAGCAUCAGGUAACAUCAAAUCGUACCCCAAACCGACACAGGUGGUCAGGUAGAGAAUACCAAGGCGCUUGAGAGAACUCGGGUGAAGGAACUAGGCAAAAUGGUGCCGUAACUUCGGGAGAAGGCACGCUGAUAUGUAGGUGAAGUCCCUCGCGGAUGGAGCUGAAAUCAGUCGAAGAUACCAGCUGGCUGCAACUGUUUAUUAAAAACACAGCACUGUGCAAACACGAAAGUGGACGUAUACGGUGUGACGCCUGCCCGGUGCCGGAAGGUUAAUUGAUGGGGUCAGCGCAAGCGAAGCUCUUGAUCGAAGCCCCGGUAAACGGCGGCCGUAACUAUAACGGUCCUAAGGUAGCGAAAUUCCUUGUCGGGUAAGUUCCGACCUGCACGAAUGGCGUAAUGAUGGCCAGGCUGUCUCCACCCGAGACUCAGUGAAAUUGAACUCGCUGUGAAGAUGCAGUGUACCCGCGGCAAGACGGAAAGACCCCGUGAACCUUUACUAUAGCUUGACACUGAACAUUGAGCCUUGAUGUGUAGGAUAGGUGGGAGGCUUUGAAGUGUGGACGCCAGUCUGCAUGGAGCCGACCUUGAAAUACCACCCUUUAAUGUUUGAUGUUCUAACGUUGACCCGUAAUCCGGGUUGCGGACAGUGUCUGGUGGGUAGUUUGACUGGGGCGGUCUCCUCCUAAAGAGUAACGGAGGAGCACGAAGGUUGGCUAAUCCUGGUCGGACAUCAGGAGGUUAGUGCAAUGGCAUAAGCCAGCUUGACUGCGAGCGUGACGGCGCGAGCAGGUGCGAAAGCAGGUCAUAGUGAUCCGGUGGUUCUGAAUGGAAGGGCCAUCGCUCAACGGAUAAAAGGUACUCCGGGGAUAACAGGCUGAUACCGCCCAAGAGUUCAUAUCGACGGCGGUGUUUGGCACCUCGAUGUCGGCUCAUCACAUCCUGGGGCUGAAGUAGGUCCCAAGGGUAUGGCUGUUCGCCAUUUAAAGUGGUACGCGAGCUGGGUUUAGAACGUCGUGAGACAGUUCGGUCCCUAUCUGCCGUGGGCGCUGGAGAACUGAGGGGGGCUGCUCCUAGUACGAGAGGACCGGAGUGGACGCAUCACUGGUGUUCGGGUUGUCAUGCCAAUGGCACUGCCCGGUAGCUAAAUGCGGAAGAGAUAAGUGCUGAAAGCAUCUAAGCACGAAACUUGCCCCGAGAUGAGUUCUCCCUGACUCCUUGAGAGUCCUGAAGGAACGUUGAAGACGACGACGUUGAUAGGCCGGGUGUGUAAGCGCAGCGAUGCGUUGAGCUAACCGGUACUAAUGAACCGUGAGGCUUAACCUUACAACGCCGAAGCUGUU